UAGAUUACAGAUUCUAACAGGUGGAAUUGUUGCAAUGAUGUCUACAAACAGAUGAUCUGCUUGGAUGAGCUAUCAAGCAUUUAACGAUGAUUUAAGCCCAGGCUGGGAACUGUGAUUAGGGUGUGGGUGAGAUGCUGGAAUAGCUCUGAGGACCACCACACCUGCCUUUUGGCCGAGACCACGCAUGCUGCUAUUGGAGAUGACACGACCCUUGUGGGUUUUGCCUGUGUGUUCUUCUGCGUGAUGAGCUGGGUUUGUACCUACCAAAACACAGCAAACUCCUUGCUCCCUGCUGAGAGAUGCUGUGGCUGCCACCCAGGACUGAAGCUGAGAUGUGCUGUGCAGGCAGCUCAGAUGGCCAACAUACCUGGUUUGGUAGAGAAACAAAGGGCUGAAGAAGGGAAAAGGGUAUCGGAGCUGUCACUGAAACCUGCAUUUUGA
rnacentral:lncRNA from 1 species